rnacentral:rRNA from 1 species
UACGAAGGGGGCUAGCGUUGCUCGGAAUCACUGGGCGUAAAGCGCACGUAGGCGGAUUGUUAAGUCAGGGGUGAAAUCCUGGAGCUCAACUCCAGAACUGCCUUUGAUACUGGCGAUCUUGAGUCCAGGAGAGGUGAGUGGAACUGCGAGUGUAGAGGUGAAAUUCGUAGAUAUUCGCAAGAACACCAGUGGCGAAGGCGGACUCACUGGCC